rnacentral:rRNA from 1 species
AGUGAACGCUGGCGGUAGGCCUAACACAUGCAAGUCGAACGGCAGCACAGUAAGAGCUUGCUCUUACGGGUGGCGAGUGGCGGACGGGUGAGGAAUACAUCGGAAUCUACUUUUUCGUGGGGGAUAACGUAGGGAAACUUACGCUAAUACCGCAUACGACCUACGGGUGAAAGCAGGGGAUCUUCGGACCUUGCGCGAUUGAAUGAGCCGAUGUCGGAUUAGCUAGUUGGCGGGGUAAAGGCCCACCAAGGCGACGAUCCGUAGCUGGUCUGAGAGGAUGAUCAGCCACACGGGAACUGAGACACGGUCAAGACUCCUACGGGAGGCAGCAGUGGGGAAUAUUGGACAAGGGGCGCAAGCCUGCUCCAGCCAUACCGCGUGGGUGAAGAAGGCCUUCGGGUUGUAAAGCCCUUUUGUUGGGAAAGAAAAGCAGCAGGUUAAUACCCCGCUGUUCUGACGGUACCCAAAGAAUAAGCACCGGCUAACUUCGUG